GCUCUUUUCUCUCCUUCCUGGAUGCUAUGAGAUGAGCAGCUUUCCUGUGCCUCGCCCUUCCGCUAUGAUGUCUCUGCCUCAUUGAAAACCUAAGGAAAUGGAGCCACUAAAAGUGGACAACAACCCUCAAACUGUGAGCCUAGUAAGUCCUCCUUUCAGUUGUUUCCUCAGGUAUUUGGUCAGUGAUGAAAAGCUGAUUAACAUACUUCCCAAAGCUCCCACUUCCAAAUACUACCCACAGCUGGCUUUGGGGAUGAUGUUUCAAACUCAUGAAUUCUGGGACCUUCAAACCACUGCAGGUGUUGAGAAUGAUAAGAUAUGAUGCCUGCAAUAAGGAAUAUGGAAUAUGUCUGUGCACAAGGAUCCACAGAAUGAUGGAACAAACAUACGCCUUUCUAGAGCUUCUACUCCUGUGUGCCUGCAUUUAUCCCUUCACUGCAGAGAAGCCAGUGUUUACAUUUGCUAACCUAAGAAACAAGCAAGAAGCAAGAAAGUGGGAAUGGGGACUUUUUUAAAGCUUCAGCCUUGCCAAGAAGGGAGGGGAGUUUCUGAGCUUCCUUUAUUAUAAAUAAUCUCCUUUGUUCAUCUA